rnacentral:rRNA from 1 species
GCAUAUAGUAGUGAGAUCUGACCAAUGGGAUUCUUAGUAAUGGCGAUGAACAGGAAUAAGCCUAGUGUGGAAAUUAAGGUUGAUGACCUUGAAUUGUUUUCUUCAGAUGCUAUCCCAGCAAAGGUGCACAUGUAGAUGUUUUGGAAAAGGAUUUCGAGGAAGGUGACAUGCCUGUCUGAGUUGUGUGGUCCUUUGUAUACGGGAUGCGUUUUACGAGUCACGUUCCUUGGAAUUGGAACGCAAAGUUGGUGGUAAUUUUCACCCAAGGCUACUUAUUAGUGUGAAACCGAUAGCAAACAAGUACCAUGAGGGAAACAUGAAAAGGACUUUGAAAAGAGGGUUAAAAGUGCUUGAAAUUGCUGAACUGGAAGCGAAGGAUGUUUGAGUGCCCAUGAUAGAUUGCUGCCAUUGUAUGCUGCUCUGUGGGUUUGCAACAUGUGAGCCCAUAGGUGGAGCUAUGCAAGUGUAGUGUUGCUGUCUUGGUGUGUUAGUGCCCUCAUGUGUUGGAGCAUGCAGUCUGGAGCAUGGAAGCUUGCUGGUUGAGUGAGUGAAUGCUACAGUUUUUGCUUGGAUGCAUUAGGUGUGAUGGUUUCUUUGAGGAUGCAUCUGCUCCUUCUGGGUGGUGGAUCCUAUUCUUGUUGUAACCAUGAUACUAGUGAUGACAUCUUCGACCCGUCUUGAA